CCGAGUGCGGGUUCUAGCGAGCCCAACCUCCCACCCGUGUUUACUGUAACCGCGUUGCCUCGGCGGGCCCACUGGGGCCCUGGCCCCGGUCGCCGGGGGGCAUCUGUCCCCGGGCCCGCGUCCGCCGAAGCGCUCUAGAACCCUGUCUGAAUAGUGAGUCUGAGCGAAUGAUUUAAUCAUUA
rnacentral:misc_RNA from 1 species